ACUAUUGGAUGGCUGUUUCUUCCAUAUCAUGUGUAACAGUACAAAAGAGGACCCAGUAUGGAAUGUCAUCACCACAUUAGAAAAUCAAGUUUCCACCUCAAAAAUAUUACUUAAUUUCUUUGGAGAAGAGUUCUCAGUUUUAUUAUGCUUGGAUAUAUGCUGGGCUGCCAAGUAUUGUGCACAUUUUCAAGGAUGAUAACUGAGGUAGCUUUUCCACAGAUAGUCCUUCAAAAUCUGAAAGUGAUGAAAAUGUGGCAUCAAUUAAUUGUUUAUGACAUUCUUCUGACACUAAUGGAAUCAAUAAAUGAACACUUAGUGCUUCACUUUUCAUCCCUGAACAAGAAAAUGUGGAAUCAAAAAAAGAAGAGAUGCCUGCAAUCAAAGAACAAUUCCUACUCUCCAGACUCCAUAAACUAUAGCAUCUAAGGUUAAUUCUGGCCCUUUUUGCUUCAUAAAUGGCUAAUGCAGCCUUUUGAUUUUCUUUCACCUCCUUUUCUCCUUCCUCCAUGUCAGGUUCUAGUGAGCAAGGUUCUUUUUGCACAUCAGAAAUCUGGCUAGUUAGAGAUCAGUGCAGAUGAUGUAGAAAGCCUGACCUUAGUUCACUUAUGAAAACAAUAGCUGUGAC